rnacentral:misc_RNA from 1 species
AAGUCGUAACAAGGUUUCCGUAGGCGAACCUGCGGAAGGAUCAUUAACACGUAUCCAACGUUAAACCCUGUGAACCUUCAUUGUGCUCCCACGCUUUCUUAGAAAGUAGCAAUCCCUGGUAAAUCAUCGCCGAACAGUUUUGAUUCAGGGACUUCUGCGAAGAGGGUGAUGUAGCGCGAGGCAAUGGACCGGGCAUUCCUCUGCUUGUUGGUGCAUAGUCACGUUCGCUAGAGGCCGUUACGGCCGGCGACCGGGUCCCUGAGCUCACUCAGAGCUUAAUAACCUUUGCAUGAAAACGGGCCUGCGCUUAAUUGUGCGGCCACCAAACUCGAACAACUGUUAACAAUGGAUAUCUUGGUUCUC